UGACGGUACCUGGAGAAAAAGCGACGGCUAAUACGUGCCAGCAGCCGCGGUAAUACGUAGGUUGCAAGCGUUGUCCGGAAUUACUGGGUGUAAAGGGCGUGUAGGCGGAGAUGCAAGUCGGGAGUGAAAUCCAUGGGCUCAACCCAUGAACUGCUCUCGAAACUGUAUCCCUUGAGUAUCGGAGAGGCAAGCGGAAUUCCUAGUGUAGCGGUGAAAUGCGUAGAUAUUAGGAGGAACACCAGUGGCGAAGGCGGCUUGCUGGACGACAACUGACGUUGAGGCGCGAAAGCGUGGGGAGCAAACAGGAUUAGAUACCCUGGUAGUCCACGCUGUAAACGAUGAAUACUAGGUGUGGGAGGACUGACCCCUUCCGUGCCGCAGUUAACACAAUAAGUAUUCCACCUGGGGAGUACGACCGCAAGGUUGAAACUCAAAGGAAUUGACGGGGGCCCGCACAAGCAGUGGAUUAUGUGGUUUAAUUCGACGCAACGCGAAGAACCUUACCAGGAUUUGACAUCCAACUAACGAAGCAGAGAUGCAUUAGGUGCCCUUCGGGGAAAGUUGAGACAGGUGGUGCAUGGUUGUCGUCAGCUCGUGUCGUGAGAUGUUGGGUUAAGUCCCGCAACGAGCGCAACCCCUAUUGUUAGUUGCUACGAAAGAGCACUCUAGCGAGACUGCCGUUGACAAAACGGAGGAAGGCGGGGACGACGUCAAAUCAUCAUGCCCCUUAUGUCCUGGGCUACACACGUAAUACAAUGGCCGUCAACAAAGGGAAGCGAAACCGCGAGGUGGAGCAAACCCCCAAAAACGGUCUCAGUUCGGAUUGCAGGCUGCAACUCGCCUGCAUGAAGCUGGAAUUGCUAGUAAUCGUGGAUCAGCAUGCCACGGUGAAUACGUUCCCGGGCCUUGUACACACCGCCCGUCACACCAUGAGAGUCGGGAACACCCGAAGUCCGUAGUCUAACCGCAAGGAGGGCGCGGCCGAAGGUGUCC
rnacentral:rRNA from 1 species